UUGAGUUUAUUGGAAAGAUAAUUCAGUCCCCAGUACAUACUUCUGAUCCAAAUUAGAACUAACAGUAUAAAUAUUACUAACAACCAUGUAAGAAUAGAAUCUUUCAGUAGAAAUGAGUAGAACUGUUGAACAAGUAGCCUCGGGGAACAGACAGCAUCAAUCUUAAUGUAGAGAUACAACUCGUUUGUCUUCUUUUAUUAAGGAAUCACAGUUAUAAAAUAUAUAAGCCAGUGCCGCCAUAUGUCUGAUUAUAAAAUACAUCAGGUAUUGUCAAAUACUGAUUAAGAAGAAAGGGAUAGAGAAGAAAGAAAGAAAGAAACAAACAAAGAAAGAAAGGAAGGAAGGAAGGAAGGAAGAAAGAUAAAAAUGAGACAGAAAUGCAGAGCCUUGAACACACAGACAGCAGGAAUAGGUGUUGCUGGCAGUUUCUUCUAUCAGCAGGACACUGAAACUCUGCCAUAAUGUAGAAUGGUCCCUUGCACUCAAGAACAGCAUUUGGCAGCUGCAGAGGCUGUGUCCAAAUGUUUGCACAGCUUCCAGUUUCCAAAACAAACAAAACCACACUGUGUUCAAUAAACUUAAU